CGAGUUGGCUGGGCGGUCGCGGCUCGCACCGGUUCGAGAGAUCCGGCGUCGGGUCGAGGAAAGUCCGGACUUCACAGAGCAGGGUGAUUGCUAACGGCAAUCCGAGGUGACUCGCGGGAAAGUGCCACAGAAAAGAGACCGCCACCCAAGCGGUGGUAAGGGUGAAACGGUGCGGUAAGAGCGCACCAGCAUUCCGGGUGACCGGGAUGGCUAGGCAAACCCCACCCGAAGCAAGGUCAAGAAGGUUGCACCGGAAGGUGCGGCCGCGCAGGCGUUCGAGGGUUGCUCGCCCGAUGCCUGCGGGUGGACCGCUUGAGGCACCCGGCAACGGUGUGUCCAGAUGGAUGGUCGCCGCCUUGCCGCCGUUGCUUACGCCGCGGCGGCGAGGAACAGAAUCCGGCUUACAGGCCAACUCGCCCG
rnacentral:RNase_P_RNA from 2 species